CAGUUCGGAUCGGAGUCUGCAACCCGACUCCGUGAAGCUGGAUUCGCUAGUAAUCGCGCAUCAGCCAUGGCGCGGUGAAUACGUUCCCGGGCCUUGUACACACCGCCCGUCAAGCCAUGGGAGCCGGGGGUACCUGAAGUGCGUAACCGCAAGGAGCGCCCUAGGGUAAAACUGGUGACUGGGGCUAAGUCGUAACAAGGUAGC
rnacentral:rRNA from 1 species